AACGAACGCUGGCGGCAUGCCUAACACAUGCAAGUCGAACGAGACCUUCGGGCCUAGUGGCGCACGGGUGCGUAACGCGUGGGAACCUGCCUUUAGGUUCGGAAUAACUCAGAGAAAUUUGAGCUAAUACCGGAUGAUGUCUUCGGGCCAAAGAUUUAUCGCCUUUAGAUGGGCCCGCGUUGGAUUAGCUAGUUGGUGGGGUAAAGGCCUACCAAGGCGACGAUCCAUAGCUGGUCUGAGAGGAUGAUCAGCCACACUGGGACUGAGACACGGCCCAGACUCCUACGGGAGGCAGCAGUGGGGAAUAUUGGACAAUGGGCGAAAGCCUGAUCCAGCAAUGCCGCGUGAGUGAUGAAGGCCUUAGGGUUGUAAAGCUCUUUUACCCGAGAUGAUAAUGACAGUAUCGGGAGAAUAAGCUCCGGCUAACUCCGUG
rnacentral:rRNA from 1 species